rnacentral:lncRNA from 1 species
UCCGUACUCUCUCUCUAUAUAUAUAUCUCAAUAAUGAGAUAUAAGUUUUUACACCGUUUAUAAAAAUAUAUACAUAUAAUUAAAAAAAAUAUUAAACGGGACAGAGGCGGGUUAGGGAGAUAGAUUUUUAAACAGGGAUGUAGUUUUGAGUCCCAACCCGUCACAGGAGUAGGGGAUGAUUUUCUUAAUCAGGGCAGGGACAGGUUGGGACAAACCCGUCCCGAACCCGCUCCGUUGCCAUCCCUAUUUACCAUGUUAACAAAUUUAACUUUCAAGUUUAAAUUUUAACAAAGUAGACUCUAAAACUUGUAACUCGUUAUAAUUCAAACCAUCUAAAACUCGUUGUAACCCGUGCCAUGCUUCUUGUUGUGGCCGUGUCGUACCCGUGCCAACCUGGCACGUCUACCAAAAGGAGUAUUAGAUUAGAUAAAUUAGAAGUUGGGCACGAGUAUAUUAGAAGUUUGUUUUUAUUUUUUUAUUUUUUUCUAUUAUUUUGUGGGUACGUCUGAAAAUUUUGUCAAUAAUUGAUGACCAAAUAAUUUUUGUGGCUGAUUUUGCAGGAAAGAUCCAAUGUUGAUGGCACUUCCCGAUUUCUCGCCGACGCCCUACUUGUUUUGAUUUUAAUGAUCUUAUUUUUUUUUCAUAGUUCACCAGAAUAUUUGUCUAUUUAAUCUGGUGGAUGAGUAGAUUGAUUGCUACAUAUAUACAUUACAACCUUUUUACAAAUAUUAUUUUGAUCCCAGUUAGAGCAAAAAUGAGUAAUUUUUCAAAUUACAUCUCAUGUCAUGCCAGCUUCUAUGUAAAUUUUAUGAUGAAGAAUGGUGCUUAGUUAAUGAUGAAUCCAACAGUGAUUGCAAAUUCUGAAAAGAUUUUAAGAUGCCUAAAACUCUAGGUUAGUGUUUCAGUGGUCAAAACCUAAUCGAGUUGUAUUUCUUUUUUCUAAACUCUAGGUUAGUGUUUCAGUGGUCAAAACCUAGGUUAGUGUUUAAGUGGUCAAAACUCGAAGUCGAUCAAUAUCAAAAAUAACAUGAUUGAAUUAUUUUUGUCUAGAUAGCAAGUACACCCUACAGAAUAGCUACUAUUUAUUAUUUUUAACACAAAUGAAAUACCAUCAUGAGACUAAUGGUUCCGAUGAACCCGAUUUUUUAAAUGGUUUUUAGUACAUUAGUUGGCACAACAAAUGAAAUACCAUCAUGAGACUUAUGGUUCCGAUGAACCCGAUUUUUUAUAUGGUUUUUAGUACAUUAGUUGGCACAACUCCAACAACGCUCGUCAAAAUAGCUAAUUCAAAAUCCCAUAUUUUUUCUUUUAAUAAAUUUAUCUACUUUAGCUAUCUCGCUUUAAAAUAUUGUUUCUUCUUUUUUUUCUAUGCAAUAUUAUACUUCAGCUAAUGUUUUGAAACCCGGACCGUUGAGAGAACCAAAAAGGACCCAGGUCACGCUUCACCGUUCACCGUCGGGUCACCGUUAUCGAACCGCCUAUCAACCGUGACGUCAUAAAUUAUUUAAAUAGAUAAUAAAUUAAAAAUAUGAUAUAUGGAAAAAAUUUAUUUUGCUACUUUUUUUCAUUUUAAAUUACCAUGUCAGUUUUACAAAUUUGCUUUAUUGACAAUCUUUUAAUAGAUAUAGAGUCCACAGACCAAAAAAGACUAUAUGGAAACACAAAUGCAAAAUGUAUAAAGUCUUCAUAUUUAAAUUAGAAUUGCAAGGAUCAAAUAAAAACUUUGAUAAAUUACAUGGAAUAAUAAUGAUUUACCGUUUUCAUGCUAAAAACUUAAAAAAGGCAAAAACUACAGGACAAGAUUAAAUUGAGGAGGGGGGAAUAGGGUGUGUGUGAGGAGGAUAGGAAUGGGGCCUAGGUGCAUUAGGUGUAAGUAGUAAGUGUGAAGAAUCGAUCAGCAGACAACUGCUUGCCCGUCGUUGCUGGGGAAACUUCAUAAAUGGGGUCAUUACUGAGGUGUGUUUGGUUGAUGGUAAAAGUUGAAGUUUGAGUUGUGAGUUUCUGACAAAUCAACUCCCCUCUCACUCUCUUCCUCUCCUCCCUUUAUUCAUCACUCUCCUCCUCCAUAGCACCGCGCACACCUCUGCACCGACGAGGACACUGCCCCCCCCCCCGAUGGCGGCCAAGGCUCUUCUCAUUUCUCUCUCUUAUCUCUCAUUCGAUUCAACGGGUGUUUUGCUCCGCGACCAGGCCGCCGGCCGCCGAGGAUCUGAGCUUUCUCCAAGAAGACGACGUCGUAUCGUCCAAUCCAGAUCCGUACCACCAUGGCGUCGUCGUCGAAGACUACAACAGAGACCAUGGAGGCGGUGUCGAAGACUACAUACAACAUCGACCAUCCUAGGUCGUCGGAAACGUUCCGGGGUCGACGUGUCGCGGUUGAACGCCGGGUCGUGCGGUUAAGUACGGUUUAUAUAUACGGAUGAAGGGGUUAACCGGACGUUUCUCCGGCUGGUCGACGGUUCGACCGGUCGGUCGGUCCGGGUUUAAAAACCUUUGACUU